UACGUAGGGUGCGAGCGUUAAUCGGAAUUACUGGGCGUAAAGUGUGCGCAGGCGGCCGCGCAAGUCGAGUGUGAAAGCCCCGGCUUAACUUGGGAAUUGCGCUCGAAACUACGUGGCUGGAGUGUGGCAGAGGAAGGUGGAAUUCCACGUGUAGCGGUGAAUGCGUAGAGAUGUGGAGGAACACCAAUGGCGAAGGCAGCCUUCUGGCCAACACUGACGCUCAUGCACGAAAGCGUGGGGAGCAAACAGG
rnacentral:rRNA from 1 species